rnacentral:rRNA from 1 species
CAUGCAAGUCGAGCGGGGAAAGGUAGCUUGCUACCUAACCUAGCGGCGGACGGGUGAGUAAUGCUUAGGAAUCUGCCUAUUAGUGGGGGACAACAUUCCGAAAGGAAUGCUAAUACCGCAUACGCCCUACGGGGGAAAGCAGGGGAUCUUCGGACCUUGCGCUAAUAGAUGAGCCUAAGUCAGAUUAGCUAGUUGGUGGGGUAAAGGCCUACCAAGGCGACGAUCUGUAGCGGGUCUGAGAGGAUGAUCCGCCACACUGGGACUGAGACACGGCCCAGACUCCUACGGGAGGCAGCAGUGGGGAAUAUUGGACAAUGGGCGAAAGCCUGAUCCAGCCAUGCCGCGUGUGUGAAGAAGGCCUUUUGGUUGUAAAGCACUUUAAGCGAGGAGGAGGCUACUUGGAUUAAUACUCUAGGAUAGUGGACGUUACUCGCAGAAUAAGCACCGGCUAA